GAAGUGAGUUGAGCGAUUGCAUAUUUCUAAAUUUUAUUAUUUAGUUUAUGAGGAAAGUCCGAGCUCUAUAGGGUAGAAUGCUGGAUAAUGACCAGUAGGAGUGAUCCUGAGGAUAGUGCCACAGAAAUAUACCGCUUGCCACAAAACAGUAGUAGAUUUUAAAGUUAACAAACUACAUUACACAAUAGACUAGUUUUAUCAAAAUAUCAUAGAAUAUAGUAUUACAAUACAUAAACAUACAAUUAACAGACGAAAACAAAUAUAUUAUUUAUUAAAGUAGAUUAAUUAAAUUAUAUACAGUUUGGCAAGUAAGGGUGCAAAGGUAGUUUAAGAGACUACCAGCAAUUAGGUGACUAAUUGGCUAGGUAAACCCCGUUCAGAGCAAGACAAAUAAGAGAAGUUGAGGUUGCCCGCUGAUUCUCUUGGUACAGUCGCUAGAAAUAUUUGGUAACAAAUGUUCAAGAUAGAUAAUCGCUGCAUAUCCUAGGGUAUGAACAGAACUCGGCUUAUAGAUUUACUUUACAA
rnacentral:RNase_P_RNA from 1 species